AGCAGUGAUAAACAUUAGGCCAUGAGCGAAAGCUUGACCUAAUUAUGGUUAAGAGGGCCGGUAAAUCUCGUGCCAGCCACCGCGGUUAUACGGGAAGGCCCAGGUUGAUGAAACCCGGCGUAAAGCGUGGUUAGGAAAAGAAUAAACUAAAGCCGAAGACUAUCAAAGCUGUCGCACGCAUAUCGAGAGCACGAAGUACAUUCACGAAGGUAGCUUUAACCAUCUGAACCCACGAAAGCCAAGGUACAAACUGGGAUUAGAUACCCCACUAUGCUUGGCCGUAAACGCAGGUAUGAACAACACCCCCCUACUCGCCAGGGAACUACGAGCGGCAGCUUAAAACCCAAAGGACUUGGCGGCGCUUUAGACCCACCUAGAGGAGCCUGUUCUAUAACCGAUAACCCCCGUUAAACCUCACCUCUCCUAGUUAAUCCAGCCUAUAUACCGCCGUCGUCAGUCUACCCCGUGAGGGAUAAGAAGUAGACAAAAUUGGCACCGCCCAAAACGUCAGGUCGAGGUGUAGCCAAUGGAGAGGGAAGAAAUGGGCUACAUUUUCUCAUCAAGAAAACUACGGAACACGAACUGAAAACCGCAUACGAAGGAGGAUUUAGCAGUAAGCGGGGAACAUAGUGCCCCGCUGAAACCGGCCCUAAAGCGUGCACACACCGCCCGUCACCCUCCCCAAAAUUGCAAAAAACUACUAGAUAAGAGAUGACAGCCCUACAAGGGGAGGCAAGUCGUAACAUGGUAAGUGUA
rnacentral:rRNA from 1 species